rnacentral:misc_RNA from 1 species
GAUGAAGAACGUAGCGAAAUGCGAUACGUAAUGUGAAUUGCAGAAUUCAGUGAAUCAUCGAAUCUUUGAACGCAUAUUGCGCUCUUUGGUAUUCCGAAGAGCAUGCUUGUUUGAGUAUCAGUAAACACCUCAAAGACUUCAAUUUGUUUUGAAUGGCUUUGGACUUGAGCAAUCCCAACACCAGUCUUUACGAUCGGUGGAGGGUUGCUUGAAAUGCAGGUGCAGCUGGACAUUCUCCUGAGCUAAAAGCAUAUUUAUUUAGUCCCGUCAAACGGAAUAUUACUUUUGCUGCAGCUAACAUAAAGGGAGUUUGACCGUAUUGGCUGACUGAUGCAGGAUUUCACAAGGGUCGGCAACGAUUCUUGUAAAACUCGAUCUCAUAUCAAGUAAGACUACCCGCUGAACUUAAGCAUAUCAAUAAGCGGAGGA